rnacentral:tRNA from 3 species
UCCUCGAUAGCUCAGCGGUAGAGCAAGCGCCUGUUAAGCGCUGGGUCCAAGGUUCGAAUCCUUGUCGAGGAG